GGACCGAACCACUAGUGUUGCAAACUAGGGGAUGAGCUGUGGAGUAGGGGUAGAAAGGACUAAACAAACUUAGGAAAUAGCUGGUUCUCUCCGAAAACUAUUUAGGUAGUGCCUCACGUAUCACUCUCGGGGGUAGAGCACUGUCAUGGCUAGGGGGUCAUCGCGACUUACCAAACCAUAGCAAACUCCGAAUACCGAGAAGUGCGAGCGUGGGAGACAGACAUCGGGUGCUAACGUCCGGUGUCAAGAGGGAAACAACCCAGACCGCCAGCUAAGGUCCCAAAUGACGUGCUAAGUGGUAAACGAGGUGAGGUUACUUAAAUAACCAGGAGGUUGGCUUAGAAGCAGCCACCCUUUAAAAAGUGCGUAACAGCUUACUGGUCUAGUGACUUCGCGCGGAAAACGUAACGGGGCUAAGCAUAGUACCGAAGCCAUGAGUCUCAACGCAAGUUGGGGCAGUAGGGGAGCGUUCUGUCAGCGGUGAAGGUCGAUCGUAAGGGCGACUGGAGCGGACAGAAGUGAGAAUGCAGGC
rnacentral:rRNA from 1 species